UCCAGCACUAUGAGCUGCUAGUGAGUGGAGAUACUAAGAAGCAAAUCAUGGCCCCUUUCCCAAUGCACAGGUUGAGUCUCUCAACAUUCUCAAUAGGAAGAAGAACCCCCACGCUACCUCCUUUCAUUCCCAUCACUGGCCAGAAGUAAACCAUUUCAUCUUGGCAAUAAAUAUUGACCGAGCACCAACCGUCUACAAGGCACUGCUCUGUGCCCUUGGCAUGCGAGGGUGAUCAAUACAUUCUACUGGAGACAGACGGGCAAAAAUCAAAAAGGGAAAAAUAUAGUUCCUAUGCCCAUGCCUCAAAAAUCUCACAACUUAAAAACAAGUCCUGAAGGAAGAUAGGAGCCAGGUGUCUGGAAGCAACACGAAUGCCUUCCCUGAGACAUCUAUAUCCGAGCACCAAUCUCUAACACUCCAAGAGAACACCAGGCUACUAAGUGGACUGAGAAUACUCCAUGAGAAACAGCAACCUGUGGUCAGAGUGAGGGGCCCACCCCUGGGAUGUCUACUGCCAUCAUGUAUGCCAGAGCCCAGGGAGUGUGAUCCAGAAGCCAAGACAGUAAAGAAUGGUCAGCUUGACAACCAACAGCUACACCCCCCAGUACCAGGAAAGCACUAUCUCAGCAUCCAACAUACCAAAGACAGUCCACGUGAGGCUAUAUUUGUGGCAAUACCGUGCCAAAAAUCUGGGCUAAUCUGACUCUGCUAUUCAUAAAUUCCCCCCUCAUGUUAAAGCACAUGUGUUUGGGAAGGGAAAAUGAAUCCAAGUCUAGUUUAGAAGCUUGGAAACGCUUAGGUUACUUGGAAACCAUCUGGAGUUCCUGAAAGCAUGAGAAGCCAUCACAUCCCCUGCCCUCAAAUGCCCACUGUAACUAGGGCAGUAUGCUUCCCUCAUGUCCUCUAUUCUCCAGGGAAGUCCCCACCCCCACCCUACCAGGUGCCAGCUCCUCAACAAACCUGGCCGAGAGCACUCUAUGUGUGGAGCCUGCACUUGAAUUGCACCCAAGGCUUGGUUCUUCCCUUUCUGCUUACUUUAAACUGCACACCUAAAUUCCUUUAACAACCACACAGAAAUCCGGCCCUGGGCACACAGAUUCCAUGAAAAAUCCCCCUCUAUCUAACAAGCCUGUGUUUCAAGAAUGUCUAGCUUUGGACGGGACCCACUAAGAAUCCUUAUGUAACCUUAAUAGAUCUUGGCACCCCACAGAUCCGCUCCUGGAGACACUGGCCCAGAUCUAGUCCAUGUUCACCAAGAUGAGAGCAGUCUGGGUCCUGCAGAUUCCUGGGGCCAAGCUGUUCUGGACUGGGAGGGAGGAGAGACUGUCCCAUCCCCUACCUGGCUGAGAGCCUCUGAUCCUCCUCUCUCUGAUCCUCCUCUCAUCUUCCAAGGGAGUUGAACCUCACUUUCGCAGCCUCCCUCCCUCCCUCCACUGAAAUCAGUCUUGGGACCGAGCCUACAUCAGCCAGCACCUUCCCCCUUCUCGCCAUCCUUUCCCCACCCCCAAACGCUGAGGAAAAAACAGCCAGGAAAGUGAUCCAGCAUCCCAUACAGUCACAGCCCCUGAAAACAAACAGGGCUCCAGUGGGGAAGGAGGGUGUCGACCAGGCCCAACACUACCUCAGGACCCUAAGCAGCCCUGAACUGGGCGCAGGGAGGAAGAGAUCUCCAGAGGCAGCCAACGACUCGGCAGCCAGCAGCUCCAGCAGAGCAAACACCUGUUUCCAGGAAGAAUCGCUACCAGAGGAAAAGGGAGUCCCGAGGAAAGGCAGAGAGGGCGAGGUGAAGGGGCAGCUGGGGACGCAGGUAAGCAAGUUCAUAGUCAAUCAUUGAGUUAGAAUGGUGUUGGCAUCAAAUUAAAUAACAUAGCCCUUCAGCUGCUGUAUACUAUAUUUCAAAUUUCCAAGAACUACAUAAAGUUUCUAAAUGACAUAUGUCUCCCAUAGGCUUAUGUUUUGGACAUUUUGAUCCCCAGUUAGCGAUGCUGUUUGGAAAGGUGGUGAGUUUAGGAAGUGAAAUCUUGAUGGACAAAGUAUGUUGCUGGAAAACAACAGGCAUGCAGGGACCCAACAAGGUCUGAAUCUCAAACACAGAAUAUACGUCAGAGAGAGACAGCCAGCAGACGGCUGAGAGAGAUGAAGGGCGAAAUGUCGCCGAAGGCACCCACUAAAGAUUCAUGAGAACGUUUUGGUGUCAUUUCCAUUUAACUAGCCAGGAGAUUGCUGACCAAGAGUCCUCAGCUGUGGUCACACCAGUGUGUGUCUAUCAAAUUGCUACCGUGACUUACAGUUGGCAUCUUUGGGUCCAAGGCUGAGAGAGCAUCUGCAGCCUCAACAAAGUGUCCCAGAGGUAUUUUUGCUAAUCAGGAGCACUUUGGUAAUGACAGCUUUAAGAAAAGCUGUUCAGCUUUCUCUUUAGGGAUGGUUGGAAGGACUAUGACACUUUUGCCAUCCUUGCCGUCAUCUGGGAUGGCAAGCCUGUUUUCCACUGCCAGCUGAAGAGAAAAGAAGCAUUCUGAGAAUCUCAUCAAAGGUCUGAACAAUGGUGGAAGGCAGAGGGUAGACAAUUUUUAUCAUGGUCACCCACGAAUGACACAGGCGGGAGAAGGUACCUUUUCUGUGAGCUCUCUACCAUUGUAAGCUCUGAUAUCCUUACUCCAGGCAAGAGGGCCCUCAACACUGUCUAUUGAAAGAACAAACAGCUUUUCAUUCCUCUGGAAAAGCUCCACUGCCAAUUUUGCACUUGUGCCAAGCUUUGGAGUAACAUGGGGUGUUUUAACAAUAGGAAGCGUGAAGAGAGCAAGAAAGCUGACAAAAUGGGCAGACUGUCACAGAACAACGCUCCGUGAAGCGGGUGGACUCAAGACGGUUUCUAGGGAACGCUGAUCUAGAGAGGCUUCCGAUUCCUUCCAUCCGGUCCUCUCAAAGUUUUAAGGAGCAGAAGAUCCCACUGCCAUUCAAAGAGUUUCCAGAUACUGAAAGAAAAUGAAAACCACCCUGAUGUUAGCAGUGCACAGCAUCCCUGCAGACAGCAUCCCUGCUGCUAACCUUCACCCCACUCUGUUCCAAUGUUUGGGGGAAACCCAGAACCCCCAAAUCAUGAACCAUUACCACUCACAAAGAAACAGAAUAAUAACUAUUAAUAAAAUGUUAGUAAAUG
rnacentral:lncRNA from 1 species